rnacentral:rRNA from 1 species
GACGAACGCUGGCGGCGUGCUUAACACAUGCAAGUCGAGCGGUAAGGCCCUUUCGGGGGUACACGAGCGGCGAACGGGUGAGUAACACGUGGGUGACCUGCCCUCAGCUCUGGGAUAAGCCUGGGAAACCGGGUCUAAUACCGGAUAUGACUCCAUGACGCAUGUUGUGGGGUGGAAAGCCUUGUGCGGCUGAGGAUGGGCCCGCGGCCUAUCAGUUUGUUGGUGGGGUGAUGGCCACCAAGGCGACGACGGGUAGCCGGCCUGAGAGGGCGACCGGCCACACUGGGACUGAGACACGGCCCAGACUCCUACGGGAGGCAGCAGUGGGGAAUCUUGCGCAAUGGGCGAAAGCCUGACGCAGCGACGCCGCGCGAGGGAUGACGGCCU